GAUGAACGCUGGCGGCGUGCUUAACACAUGCAAGUCGAACGGGCAUAUCUUUCGGGGUAUGUUAGUGGCAGACGGGUGCGUAACACGUAGGUGACCUGCCCUAGAGUGGGGAAUAACUAGUCUAACGACUAGCUAAUACCGCAUGAACUCGGCGAUUCAGUUGGUCGAGUAAAGCUGUAAAGUGCUUUAGGAUGGGCCUGCGGCGGAUUAGGUAGUUGGUGGGGUAACGGCCUACCAAGCCGAUGAUCCGUAGGGGGCGUGAGAGCGUGACCCCCCACACUGGCACUGAGACACGGGCCAGACUCCUACGGGAGGCAGCAGUGAGGAAUAUUGGGCAAUGGAUGGAAAUCUGAUCCAGCCAUGCCGCGUGCAGGAAGACAGCCCUAUGGGUUGUAAACUGCUUUUAUAUGGGAGCAAUAAGGUCUACGUGUAGACUGAUGAGAGUACCAUAUGAAUAAGCAUCGGCUAACUCCGUGCC
rnacentral:rRNA from 1 species